rnacentral:misc_RNA from 1 species
GAUGAAGAACGUAGCGAAAUGCGAUAAGUAAUGUGAAUUGCAGAAUUCAGUGAAUCAUCGAAUCUUUGAACGCACAUUGCGCCCUCUGGUAUUCCGGAGGGCAUGCCUGUUCGAGCGUCAUUUCAACCCUCAAGCACAGCUUGGUGUUGGGACUCGCGUUAAUUCGCGUUCCCCAAAUUGAUUGGCGGUCACGUCGAGCUUCCAUAGCGUAGUAGUAAAACCCUCGUUACUGGUAAUCGUCGCGGCCACGCCGUUAAACCCCAACUUCUGAAUGUUGACCUCGGAUCAGGUAGGAAUACCCGCUGAACUUAAGCAUAUCAAUAAGCGGAGGA